rnacentral:rRNA from 1 species
CGUCGUCGACUCGAUAUUUCCGCCGCCGACCCUCAACCGAGGGUGUCGGACGUCGCGACCCGUUCGCCCAGGUCGAUACUCAGGGACGCGUUUCAAGUUCGCCGGCGCGGUCGUCUCGGCGGCCGCGUCACGAUGGCGCGUUUCCGCUGUUCUCGACGCGGACGGUAGCUUUGCGCGCGGGUAAUCGACGCGGUCCUUCGUCCGGCGUCUCCGUACGUCGGACGGCGCUCGCGUCGACGCCGGUCAGCGACGAAUCUUCGGGCCUCUUUCCGACCCGUCUUGAAACACGGACCAAGGAGUCUAGCGUGCGCGCGAGUCGCGGGGUAUCCGAGUCGUCGUAGUCGUUUCGGCGGCGAACGCGACUCGUCACGAUACGAAACCCGUGUACGUACGUUGUGCGAAGGCGUAAUGAAAGUGAAAGGCGACGCUUCGCGCGUCGCCGGGGGAAGACGGUGUUCCGUGUACCACGUUUCGCGGUCAUACGUGUACCGCGGCCGGACACCCGCAUUCCCAGGGCGUCCCGCUCGUACGUCGGCCGUCGGGUCUCGGCUCGGCGGUCGGCGAACUGGGGCGCACCUACAGCGUGCACGCUGGUACCCGAAAGAUGGUGAACUAUGCCCGGCCAGGAU